UAGGGAAUCUUCGGCAAUGGGGGGAACCCUGACCGAGCAACGCCGCGUGAGUGAAGAAGGUGUUCGGAUCGUAAAGCUCUGUUGUUAAGGAAGAACGAGUGUGAGAAUGGAAAGUUCAUACUGUGACGGUACUUAACCAGAAAGGGACGGCUAACUACGUGCCAGCAGCCGCGGUAAUACGUAGGUCCCGAGCGUUGUCCGGAUUUAUUGGGCGUAAAGCGAGCGCAGGCGGUUAGAUAAGUCUGAAGUUAAAGGCAGUGGCUCAACCAUUGUAGGCUUUGGAAACUGUUUAACUUGAGUGCAGAAGGGGAGAGUGGAAUUCCAUGUGUAGCGGUGAAAUGCGUAGAUAUAUGGAGGAACACCAGUGGCGAAGGCGACUCUCUGGUCUGUAACUGACGCUGAGGCUCGAAAGCGUGGGUAGCAAACAGG
rnacentral:rRNA from 1 species